UUCCAUUAUCAUAGGAAAUAGUAGCAAGGAAAAAAAAAGUAGUGAAUCAUAAUUUUGAAGUAAGUUAGAAGCCAGAUUAAAGCACAGAACAGAAGGUACCACAGUAGCCCUGAAGAAACGUGGCAUCAUCUCCUGUGUUACUGUGGAGCUUAUUUCAUCACUCAACUCUGUUGGUAUUAAGUGGUGAAUAAAGUAGACAAGAUACUAAUCCUUAUGGAGCUCUGUGUCUAGUGAACAUGAAAAAGAUAUAUGAAUGAAACAUGGUUAAGGAAAGACACGGUUAGAGGAGAACUGAAGGAAAGAUAGAAACCCAUGCGGCCAGGAGAGUUGGGAUCUUUUCUGUUGUGUCUCAGAACUUCAGGGUUAAGACCCUUCCUGGGUGAUGGAUAAAGGAAGUCAUUGUCCAGAUGAAAGACUCAUGAACUUGGAGACAGAAUGAAGCCAUUGAAGCAACUUGGACGUCGGGAAUUCACUGAAGACCAGACUAAAGAGGGGCUUGUUCUAAUAGAAAUUCAUCUAAAAAGUUGGAGAUUCUGUAGAAGAUCUGAUGAAGAGGGCCAAUCACUGAGGAAAAAUGGAUAGCAUCCUAAAACAGUGGGUAGUAAGGGAACCGGUAUGUCUGAUGUUUUAAAGGAAAGAGCAAUUAAAGAAAUCCUUACAGAUUCCUCCUG
rnacentral:lncRNA from 1 species